ACAGGAGCUUGCUCCUGAAUUCAGCGGCGGACGGGUGAGUAAUGCCUAGGAAUCUGCCUGGUAGUGGGGGACAACGUUUCGAAAGGAACGCUAAUACCGCAUACGUCCUACGGGAGAAAGCAGGGGACCUUCGGGCCUUGCGCUAUCAGAUGAGCCUAGGUCGGAUUAGCUAGUUGGUGAGGUAAUGGCUCACCAAGGCGACGAUCCGUAACUGGUCUGAAAGGAUGAUCAGUCACACUGGAACUGAGACACGGUCCAGACUCCUACGGGAGGCAGCAGUGGGGAAUAUUGGACAAUGGGCGAAAGCCUGAUCCAGCCAUGCCGCGUGUGUGAAGAAGGUCUUCGGAUUGUAAAGCACUUUAAGUUGGGAGGAAGGGUUGUAGAUUAAUACUCUGCUAUUUUGACGUUACCGACAGAAUAAGCACCGGCUAACUCUGUGCCAGCAGCCGCGGUAAUACAGAGGGUGCAAGCGUUAAUCGGAAUUACUGGGCGUAAAGCGCGCGUAGGUGGUUUGUUAAGUUGGAUGUGAAAGCCCCGGGCUCAACCUGGGAACUGCAUUCAAAACUGACAAGCUAGAGUAUGGUAGAGGGUGGUGGAAUUUCCUGUGUAGCGGUGAAAUGCGUAGAUAUAGGAAGGAACACCAGUGGCGAAGGCGACCACCUGGACUGAUACUGACACUGAGGUGCGAAAGCGUGGGGAGCAAACAGGAUUAGAUACCCUGGUAGUCCACGCCGUAAACGAUGUCAACUAGCCGUUGGGAGCCUUGAGCUCUUAGUGGCGCAGCUAACGCAUUAAGUUGACCGCCUGGGGAGUACG
rnacentral:rRNA from 1 species